GAGUUUGAUCAUGGCUCAGAGCGAACGCUGGCGGCGUGCCUAAGCCAUGCAAGUCGAACGCGGUCCCGAAUUUGUUUCACUUCGGUGGAACUGUUCGGGAUGCGGCGUGGCGAACGGGUGAGUAACGCGUGGGUAACCUACCCUCGGGGUGGGGGAUAACCCGGGGAAACCCGGGACAAUCCCGCAUAACAUCCAGUCACAUAAGUGGCUGGAUCAAAGGGGGCCUCUGCUUUGCAUGCUCCCGCCUGAGGAGGGGCCCGCGUCCUAUCAGGUAGUUGGUGGGGUAACGGCCCACCAAGCCUACGACGGGUAGCCGGUGUGAGAGCAUGGCCGGCCACACUGGGACUGAGACACGGCCCAGACUCCUACGGGAGGCAGCAGGCGGGAAUCGUGGACAAUGGGCGCAAGCCUGAUCCCGCGACGCCGCGUGGGGGAAGAAGGCCUUCGGUCGUAACCCCGUCGUCAGGGAGGACGAAGUCUCGUUGGGUG
rnacentral:rRNA from 1 species